CCUACGGGAGGCAGCAGUGAGGAAUAUUGGUCAAUGGGCGUAAGCCUGAACCAGCCAAGUCGCGUGAGGGAUGAAGGUCCUAUGGAUCGUAAACCUCUUUUAUAAGGGAAUAAAGUGUUGGACGUGUCCAUUUUUGUAUGUACCUUAUGAAUAAGGAUCGGCUAACUCCGUGCCAGCAGCCGCGGUAAUACGGAGGAUCCGAGCGUUAUCCGGAUUUAUUGGGUUUAAAGGGUGCGUAGGCGGUAUGUUAAGUCAGGGGUGAAAGUCUCUGGCUCAACCAGAGAAUUGCCGUUGAAACUGGGAGGCUGGAGUAUGUGAGAGGAAGGCGGAAUGCGUGGUGUAGGGGUGAAAUGCGUAGAUAUCACGAGGAACACCGGUUGCGAAGGCAGCUUGCUAAGACAUGACUGACGCUGAUGAGCGAAAGCGUGGGGAUCAAACAGGAUUAGAUACCCGAGUAGUC
rnacentral:rRNA from 1 species